GGUUAUGGGAAUAAAAUAAAAUAAAAUCUCAAUAACCCAAAAAUCCCUUAAUCUUCUCCCCUAUUUCGCACUACACAUCUAUUACUCAGAAUCUCCCUAUUACACAACUCUAUAUCGAAAUCUGAGCAAAAAAAAAAUUACCCUUGCCUGCAUAGGAACUCGAACACAAGACCUCCACCAUAAUAACACACCAUUUAAC
rnacentral:lncRNA from 1 species